UACAGGGGGUGCAAACGUUGCUCGGAAUCAUUGGGCGUAAAGCGCACGUAGGCGGAUCGUUAAGUCGGGGGUGAAAUCCUGGAGCUCAACUCCAGAACUGCCUUCGAUACUGGCGAUCUUGAGUCCGGAAGAGGUGAGUGGAACUCCUAGUGUAGAGGUGGAAUUCGUAGAUAUUAGGAAGAACACCAGUGGCGAAGGCGGCUCACUGGUCCGGUACUGACGCUGAGGUGCGAAAGCGUGGGGAGCAAACAGGGAUUAAGAAAACCCUAG
rnacentral:rRNA from 1 species